GAUGAACGCUGGCGGCGUGCCUAAUACAUGCAAGUCGAGCGAACAGAUGAGGAGCUUGCUCCUCUGACGUUAGCGGCGGACGGGUGAGUAACACGUGGAUAACCUACCUAUAAGACUGGGAUAACUUCGGGAAACCGGAGCUAAUACCGGAUAAUAUAUUGAACCGCAUGGUUCAAUAGUGAAAGACGGUUUUGCUGUCACUUAUAGAUGGAUCCGCGCCGCAUUAGCUAGUUGGUAAGGUAACGGCUUACCAAGGCGACGAUGCGUAGCCGACCUGGGAGGGUAAUCGCCCACACUGUAACUGAGACACGGUCCAGACUCCUACGGGAGUCAGCGGUAGGGAAUCUUCCGCAGUGGUCGAAAGUUUUACGGAGCAACUCCGCGUGAGUGAUGAAGGUCUUCGGAUCGUAAAACUCUGUUAUUAGGGAAGAACAAAUGUGUAAGUACCUAUGCACGUCUUGACGGUACCUAAUCAAAAGGCCACGCCUAACUACUUG
rnacentral:rRNA from 1 species